CACGUAGGGGCCGAGCGUUGUCCGGAGUUACUGGGCGUAAAGGGCGCGCAGGCGGCCACGUACAUCUCUGGUGAAAGCCCCGGGCUCAACCCGGGAGGGUCCAGGGAGAUGGCGUGGCUGGAGGCAGGGCGAGGGCGGUGGAAUUCCGGGUGUAGUGGUGAAAUGCGUGAGAGAUCCGGAGGAACACCAGUGGCGAAGGCGGCCGCCUGGACCUG
rnacentral:rRNA from 1 species